UACCUGGCAGCGUGCCUUAUGCAUGCAAGUCGUACGGUUCCGAUUUAUCGGGACAGUGGCGAACGGCUGAGUAACACGUAGGUAACCUGCCCCUAAGUAGGGGAUAACUCUGAGAAAUCGGAGCUAAUACUUUAUGUAGUCCUUCACCAAAAGGUGAAGGACUAAAGCCUUCGGGCGCUUAGGGAGGGGCUUGCGUCCUAUCAGGUAGUUGGUAGGGUAAUAGCCUACCAAGCCGAUGACGGGUAGCUGGUCUGAGAGGAUGUCCAGCCAGACUGGGACUGAGACACGGCCCAGACUCCUACGGGAGGCAGCAGCAAGGAAUAUUGUGCAAUGGGCGAAAGCCUGACACAGCGACGCUGCGUGGGGGAAGAAGGCCUUCGGGUUGUAAACCCCUUUUCUCAGGGAAGAUGAUGACGGUACCUGAGGAAUAAGUCUCGGCCAACUACGUGCCAGCAGCCGCGGUAAUACGUAGGAGGCGAGUGUUAUCCGGAUUUACUGGGCGUAAAGAGGGCGUAGGCGGUUCUUCAAGUCGAAUGUAAAAUCUCCCGGCUCAACUGGGGGGGGUCAUUCGAUACUGUUGGGCUAGAGGGCAGCAGAGGGAGGUGGAAUUCCCGGUGUAGUGGUGAAAUGCGUAGAUAUCGGGAGGAACACCAGU
rnacentral:rRNA from 1 species